AGGAGCCCAGAGCCUGAAUCAGUGUGUGUGUUAGUGGAAGCGUCUGGAAAGGCGCGCGAUACAGGGUGACAGCCCCGUACACAAAAAUGCACAUGCUGUGAGCUCGAUGAGUAGGGCGGGACACGUGGUAUCCUGUCUGAAUAUGGGGGGACCAUCCUCCAAGGCUAAAUACUCCUGACUGACCGAUAGUGAACCAGUACCGUGAGGGAAAGGCGAAAAGAACCCCGGCGAGGGGAGUGAAAAAGAACCUGAAACCGUGUACGUACAAGCAGUGGGAGCCCUGAUUUAUCAGGGUGACUGCGUACCUUUUGUAUAAUGGGUCAGCGACUUAUAUUCUGUAGCAAGGUUAACCGAAUAGGGGAGCCGGAGGGAAACCGAGUCUUAACUGGGCGUUAAGUUGCAGGGUAUAGACCCGAAACCCGGUGAUCUAGCCAUGGGCAGGUUGAAGGUUGGGUAACACUAACUGGAGGACCGAACCGACUAAUGUUGAAAAAUUAGCGGAUGACUUGUGGCUGGGGGUGAAAGGCCAAUCAAACCGGGAGAUAGCUGGUUCUCCCCGAAAGCUAUUUAGGUAGCGCCUCGUGAAUUCAUCUCCGGGGGUAGAGCACUGUUUCGGCAAGGGGGUCAUCCCGACUUACCAACCCGAUGCAAACUGCGAAUACCGGAGAAUGUUAUCACGGGAGACACACGGCGGGUGCUAACGUCCGUCGUGAAGAGGGAAACAACCCAGACCGCCAGCUAAGGUCCCAAAGUCAUGGUUAAGUGGGAAACGAUGUGGGAAGGCCCAGACAGCCAGGAUGUUGGCUUAGAAGCAGCCAUCAUUUAAAGAAAGCGUAAUAGCUCACUGGUCGAGUCGGCCUGCGCGGAAGAUGUAACGGGGCUAAACCAUGCACCGAAGCUGCGGCAGCGACGCUGAUGCGUUGUUGGGUAGGGGAGCGUUCUGUAAGCCUGUGAAGGUGUGCUGUGAGGCAUGCUGGAGGUAUCAGAAGUGCGAAUGCUGACAUAAGUAACGAUAAAGCGGGUGAAAAGCCCGCUCGCCGGAAGACCAAGGGUUCCUGUCCAACGUUAAUCGGGGCAGGGUGAGUCGACCCCUAAGGCGAGGCCGAAAGGCGUAGUCGAUGGGAAACAGGUUAAUAUUCCUGUACUUGGUGUUACUGCGAAGGGGGGACGGAGAAGGCUAUGUUGGCCGGGCGACGGUUGUCCCGGUUUAAGCGUGUAGGCUGGUUUUCCAGGCAAAUCCGGAGAAUCAAGGCUGAGGCGUGAUGACGAGGCACUACGGUGCUGAAGCAACAAAUGCCCUGCUUCCAGGAAAAGCCUCUAAGCAUCAGGUAACAUCAAAUCGUACCCCAAACCGACACAGGUGGUCAGGUAGAGAAUACCAAGGCGCUUGAGAGAACUCGGGUGAAGGAACUAGGCAAAAUGGUGCCGUAACUUCGGGAGAAGGCACGCUGAUGGUAGGUGAAGCGACUUGCUCGUGGAGCUGAAAUCAGUCGAAGAUACCAGCUGGCUGCAACUGUUUAUUAAAAACACAGCACUGUGCAAACACGAAAGUGGACGUAUACGGUGUGACGCCUGCCCGGUGCCGGAAGGUUAAUUGAUGGGGUCAGCGCAAGCGAAGCUCUUGAUCGAAGCCCCGGUAAACGGCGGCCGUAACUAUAACGGUCCUAAGGUAGCGAAAUUCCUUGUCGGGUAAGUUCCGACCUGCACGAAUGGCGUAAUGAUGGCCAGGCUGUCUCCACCCGAGACUCAGUGAAAUUGAACUCGCUGUGAAGAUGCAGUGUACCCGCGGCAAGACGGAAAGACCCCGUGAACCUUUACUAUAGCUUGACACUGAACACUGGUCCUUGAUGUGUAGGAUAGGUGGGAGGCUUUGAAGUGUGGACGCCAGUCUGCAUGGAGCCGUCCUUGAAAUACCACCCUUUAAUGGCUGGUGUUCUAACGUUGGCCCCUUAUCGGGGUUGCGGACAGUGUCUGGUGGGUAGUUUGACUGGGGCGGUCUCCUCCUAAAGAGUAACGGAGGAGCACGAAGGUUGGCUAAUCCUGGUCGGACAUCAGGAGGUUAGUGCAAUGGCAUAAGCCAGCUUGACUGCGAGCGUGACGGCGCGAGCAGGUGCGAAAGCAGGUCAUAGUGAUCCGGUGGUUCUGAAUGGAAGGGCCAUCGCUCAACGGAUAAAAGGUACUCCGGGGAUAACAGGCUGAUACCGCCCAAGAGUUCAUAUCGACGGCGGUGUUUGGCACCUCGAUGUCGGCUCAUCACAUCCUGGGGCUGAAGUAGGUCCCAAGGGUAUGGCUGUUCGCCAUUUAAAGUGGUACGCGAGCUGGGUUUAGAACGUCGUGAGACAGUUCGGUCCCUAUCUGCCGUGGGCGCUGGAGAACUGAGGGGGGCUGCUCCUAGUACGAGAGGACCGGAGUGGACGCAUCACUGGUGUUCGGGUUGUCAUGCCAAUGGCACUGCCCGGUAGCUAAAUGCGGAAGAGAUAAGUGCUGAAAGCAUCUAAGCACGAAACUUGCCCCGAGAUGAGUUCUCCCUGAGACUUUAAGUCUCCUGAAGGAACGUUGAAGACGACGACGUUGAUAGGCCGGGUGUGUAAGCGCAGCGAUGCGUUGAGCUAACCGGUACUAAUGAACCGUGAGGCUUAACCUUACAACGCCGAAGGUGUUU
rnacentral:rRNA from 1 species